UCUUGUUUGUCUAGACAGUGCAUAAACUAAAAUUGGCAGAGAAGAUCAGGGUGGCCCCAGGGCAAGGAUGGCAAGCAAAAUUUUGAAGCAUUCCGUAGUUUU